UCGCCGUCCGGUCCGUUCGUCGAGUCCGCCACUCGACGUAGCGCCCGCACUCCCCGC
rnacentral:precursor_RNA from 1 species